rnacentral:rRNA from 1 species
GACGAACGCUGGCGGCGUGCCUAAUACAUGCAAGUAGAACGCUGAAGGAGGAGCUUGCUUCUCCGGAUGAGUUGCGAACGGGUGAGUAACGCGUAGGUAACCUGCCUGGUAGCGGGGGAUAACUAUUGGAAACGAUAGCUAAUACCGCAUAAGAGUAGAUGUUGCAUGACAUUUGCUUAAAAGGUGCAAUUGCAUCACUACGAGAUGGACCUGCGUUGUAUUAGCUAGUUGGUGGGGUAACGGCUUACCAAGGCGACGAUACAUAGCCGACCUGAGAGGGUGAUCGGCCACACUGGGACUGAGACACGGCCCAGACUCCUACGGGAGGCAGCAGUAGGGAAUCUUCGGCAAUGGACGGAAGUCUGACCGAGCAACGCCGCGUGAGUGAAGAAGGUUUUCGGAUCGUAAAGCUCUGUUGUAAGAGAAGAACGAGUGUGAGAGUGGAAAGUUCACACUGUGACGGUAUCUUACCAGAAAGGGACGGCUAACUACGUG